UGGUGGGUUGUGGUGGUUUGUUGUGUGGUGUGUUGUGGUGUUGUGUGGUGUGUUGUGGUGUUGUGUGGUGGGUUGUAGUGUUGUGUGGUGGUUUGUGGUGUUAUGUGGUGGGUUGUGGUGUUGUGUGGUGGGUUGUGGUGUUGUGUGGUGGGUUGUGGUGUUGUGUGGUGGGUUGUGGUGUUGUGUGGUGGGUUGUAGUGUUGUGUGGUGGGUUGUGGUGUUGUGUGGUGGGUUGUGGUGUUGUGUGGUGGGUUGUGGUGUUGUGUGGUGGGUUGUGGUGUUGUGUGGUGGGUUGUGGUGUUGUGUGGUGGUUUGUUGUGGUGUUGUGUAGUGGGUUGUGGUUUUAUGUGGUUUUGUGUGGUGUUGUGUGGUGGGUUGUGGUGUUGUGUGGUGUGUUGUGGUGUUGUGUGGUGGGUUGUAGUGUUGUGUGGUGGUUUGUUGUGGUGUUGUGUAGUGGGUUGUGGUUUUAUGUGGUUUGUGUGGUGUUGUGUGGUGGGUUGUGGUGUUGUGUGGUGGGUUGUGGUGUUGUGUGGUGGGUUGUGGUGUUGUGUGGUGGGUUGUGGUGUUGUGUGGUGGUUUGUUGUGGUGUUGUGUGGUGGGUUGUGGUGUUAUGUGGUUUUGUGGUGUUGUGUGGUGGGUUGUGGUGUUAUGUGGUGGGUUGUGGUGUUGUGUGGUGUGUUGUGGUGUUGUGUGGUGGUUUGUUGUUGUGUUGUGUGGUGGGUUGUGGUGUUGUGUGGGGGUUUGUUGUGGUGUUGUGUGGUGGGUUGUGGUGUUGUGUGGUGGUUUGUUGUGGUGUUGUGUAGUGGGUUGUGGUUUUAUGUGGUUUUGUGUGGUGUUGUGUGGUGGGUUGUAGUGUUGUGUGGUGGUUUGAUGGUGUUGUGUGGUGGGUUGUGGUGUUAUGUGGUGGUUUGUUGUGUGUUGUGGUGGUUUGAUGGUGUUGUGUGGUGGGUUGUGGUGUUAUGUGGUGGUUUGUUG
ensembl:lncRNA